rnacentral:miRNA from 1 species
AUAUAAAGUCGAAUACGAGCGCGAAAGGCUGCUGGGAAUCGCUAAUAAAUGAAUUUAUUAGCGAUUCCCAGCAGCCUUUCGCGCUCGUAUUCGACUUUUCCUCUUUG